AUGCUCUCUCAAUUCAACAUGCCAUGCCUUGACAGACAAAACGAAAUACAAAAUAUAACAUUUAUACUUACAAUUUUGCAAUGCAGUGUGCUUCAUCAAUGAAAAUUGCCAUCAAAAUCUUCUCUUUAGUCAGGCUGUGUUCCAAGAACUGUCUCUGGACUUGCAAAUAUUAUUAUGUCAGUGUCAGGGUGAAAAAACCGUCACAGUAGCAUGGUUGGAGUUAUUAAGUUUCUUAAACACGAAUGGUGCUAAUUCAAAAGUAAGUGAUUUUCCUGAUCCUGUUGGAGAAAAAAAAGGACAUCCUUUCCUCUGAGGUAACUUACAAUCACUUGUCUUUGAUGAUUCCUGAAGUGAUCAAUUAUGUAACUGCAUUACCUUCCAUACCAACAGUUAUACAUGUAGUUAAGUUAAAUAGAGGGCGUAUAUACUUAAAACACAACAUCAAUCCUUUGUUCCGUUCAGCAGUGUGUCAGAUUCGUGAUGGCUAGCUUGAGGUGGCUAGACUUGCUUUUUGUAUGCAUUACUAGAUUCUUUUUUUAAAUGAAAUAAAUAUAUUCCACGGUCAUUGGUGCAGGACUAAUUGUGUAUAUCACCUGAAUUUUGGUCAAUACCUGAAAUACUCAGUCGCCAAUACAGCCCCUAUUUCAUAUAAGGUUAUGAAAAUACAUGUCGGUUGGAGCCUGAAGCCUGAAGUAGAAUUUAGGUUAUUACACGGAUGAUAUACAUGUAAGGCCGAAAAUUGAUGAACUUCUUUAUUAUGAAGAACACAAUGUUUGGGACUAAUAUCAUUAGUUGAAGGAGUAAGUAUUACACCCAAACGUUCUGUUCCACACAAUGCGUUUCACUUCUGAAUGUUUUUCUAAGAGUUGAUACAUACACUUGCCUUGUAUAUAUGGUUGAUGCACGUCGAGUGUCUCAGAAACGCGGGAUCUGCAGGUAUUAGAGCUGAAUACAGUUGUGAUUUGACGAAUUCUUUUUCUUUUGACUCUUCCUCUUAUUUCGUUUUUCAGCUUAGCAUUGUGUAUACACAACGUAAUUAACGGAUUCUGACAUCAGCCACAUAUCUCGGACCACCCCACGAGUCUCUCUUAACCGUUCAAUUAACGUUCCGCUUGGUGUUGCCACACCUGUCCGCCAUCUGCUGUUGAGAUACUGUAACGGUUCUCGUCUGAAAAGAGGACUUCUCCCACUGCUGGUGCUGUGCUACCCACUGAAGACGGUCCAGGAAACAAAGAAGAAGACUGAAAGGAUACCACUGGGAGUGCUUCAGUGAGGACCUCAGUGACCGUUCUCCAUCACAGUAGGUGCUCAGCGGAGGGGACUACCUCACCCUUGAGAGGCAGAAACAAGCCAAUCAUGCACUUACGAGAUGGACCUACACCAAGUUCCAGAUUACAAGGACUUGUUCCAAAGAUGGAAGAGUUCCAUAACGAAGCUGAAUUUCUAAAGGUUAUAUGGAAACACUUGUACUCGUCCUCCUCUAACAAGUCUGUUUGGCACUCUGCAUGCUGCAAAGGAGCACAAUAAAUGCGGUGAAUGUUACUCAGGAUCCUCAUGACAACUUUUACCCAUGCUCUGAAUUCAUGGACAAGGUCACCACCGCCUACAUCGUAACUCGGGGACUACAUUACUUCCAAAUGGAACACCUCACUUCUGUCCCAACGUCAAGUUACAUGGGUGCUGUUGGCAAUCCAUAUAAAAUGAUUGAUUAUUUUCUAGGUCAUGCAGCAAAACAGUUUGUAGACAAGCACGUCUUACCGGAGGUUCCUCAACAGCCAGGUCAUGGUCUCCAAAUCAAACACACUAGCCUGCAGGUACUGUGGAAAACUGUACCAGAGACCAAAAGCUCUCCGCAAACACGAAGCAUCCGGAAUAUAAUGCUGAAAACAAUCAGGAUUCCACAUCUUCAGCAGAAUCAAGAUCAUCUAUUUAUCAGUACACCCGUCUGUCUCUCAUGCUUGGGCUUCUUCGAAUAAAUCACAACGAUUCCAUUCACAUGGGAGAUGGUGGCAGGCAUGAUGAGACUAGUAAAGUGGUUCUGUUUAUACUACAAGGCAAGCAAAUGUCCAAAGUAUGCAUAUGGUCUCCUUUGAAACACAGGCAAAGGCAUAUGCUCUCCUAUAUGAACGGCAGGCUUUAUAGAUUGAUAUGGAACCGCACAGUCAACCAUCAAGGCAGAGAAGACACCAAUCAUCCCAUCGACCUUGACUUGGAGCAUUGCAACAGGGCUUUCAAAGAUGAUGUACACACAUACAAGGGGAGGUACACAGAUAAAAGACGAUUCUCAAAGUCAGCAGAAGUGCGCUGUCAAUGGAAGAAUUAUGCCAAAAAUACGACAAAUUGGCAUUCCGCAAGAAAUGUUCGGGAAGGCAUGGAGUUGUUGAUCCUUCUUGGUGAUAUUCUUAAACUUGUAGAACAAUUCCAUUCCUAUGCAGCUCAAUUCAAUGAGGCCAACAAGCCACUGCCACAGAGAAAUCAAAAACAUGCUGAGUGACAUCCAAAAUUGGAUUUCAGAAAGUCUUAAAGUCUUCAGUAGCCGCACAUACUAUAACAUCUGAACCUUUUUUCCCGAUGUGUAAUUCAGUGUCACAUGAUUAAAACGAGACCCUGUUGCAAAGUCGCUAUCACUGUAUGUUUCAUGAUCUUCAUGUUCUGAGUCUGAGUGAGAUGAUGAGCUAUCACUCGAGUCAAGGGAAGUUUUGUACAACUCAAGAAUAUCACAUCUACAUUCACUACAUGGGGUAAUUGCAUGUCCAUGAGUCUCUGCAGUCACAGAGACACUUGCAAGAUAUGGCACAGUUGUCCAUAGCACUCAUGACUUCAGUAAAGCUCAACUCGUCGACAUACGUUGGUUCUGACAUACUGUUUCAUUUCAUCCGAAAUAUUCCGCCUGCCACUGAGACAUCGUCUAAAUUUCAUGAGAAGAGCAUGUGCCUGCUUUUCUGGAUCCCUGCCUGCUCCGUCCUUGUCUCUUGAAUAUAAUCCUCAACAUUAUUGGCUGGACCAUAGUGGAUGACGGUUUCCACACUUUCUUAGCAUUGUGUAUACACAACGUAAUUAACGGAUUCUGACAUCAGCCACAUAUCUCGGACCACCCCACGAGUCUCUCUUAACCGUUCAAUUAACGUUCCGCUUGGUGUUGCCACACCUGUCCGCCAUCUGCUGUUGAGAUACUGUAACGGUUCUCGUCUGAAAAGAGGACUUCCCCCACUGCUGGUGCUGUGCUACCCACUGAAGACGGUCCAGGAAACAAAGAAGAAGACUGAAAGGAUACCACUGGGAGUGCUUCAGUGAGGACCUCAGUGACCGUUCUCCAUCACAGUAGGUGCUCAGCGGAGGGGACUACCUCACCCUUGAGAGGCAGAAACAAGCCAAUCAUGCACUUACGAGAUGGACCUACACCAAGUUCCAGAUUACAAGGACUUGUUCCAAAGAUGGAAGAGUUCCAUAACGAAGCUGAAUUUCUAAAGGUUAUAUGGAAACACUUGUACUCGUCCUCCUCUAACAAGUCUGUUUGGCACUCUGCAUGCUGCAAAGGAGCACAAUAAAUGCGGUGAAUGUUACUCAGGAUCCUCAUGACAACUUUUACCCAUGCUCUGAAUUCAUGGACAAGGUCACCACCGCCUACAUCGUAACUGGGGGACUACAUUACUUCCAAAUGGAACACCUCACUUCUGUCCCAACGUCAAGUUACAUGGGUGCUGUUGGCAAUCCAUAUAAAAUGAUUGAUUAUUUUCUAGGUCAUGCAGCAAAACAGUUUGUAGACAAGCACGUCUUACCGGAGGUUCCUCAACAGCCAGGUCAUGGUCUCCAAAUCAAACACACUAGCCUGCAGGUACUGUGGAAAACUGUACCAGAGACCAAAAGCUCUCCGCAAACACGAAGCAUCCGGAAUAUAAUGCUGAAAACAAUCAGGAUUCCACAUCUUCAGCAGAAUCAAGAUCAUCUAUUUAUCAGUACACCCGUCUGUCUCUCAUGCUUGGGCUUCUUCGAAUAAAUCACAACGAUUCCAUUCACAUGGGAGAUGGUGGCAGGCAUGAUGAGACUAGUAAAGUGGUUCUGUUUAUACUACAAGGCAAGCAAAUGUCCAAAGUAUGCAUAUGGUCUCCUUUGAAACACAGGCAAAGGCAUAUGCUCUCCUAUAUGAACGGCAGGCUUUAUAGAUUGAUAUGGAACCGCACAGUCAACCAUCAAGGCAGAGAAGACACCAAUCAUCCCAUCGACCUUGACUUGGAGCAUUGCAACAGGGCUUUCAAAGAUGAUGUACACACAUACAAGGGGAGGUACACAGAUAAAAGACGAUUCUCAAAGUCAGCAGAAGUGCGCUGUCAAUGGAAGAAUUAUGCCAAAAAUACGACAAAUUGGCAUUCCGCAAGAAAUGUUCGGGAAGGCAUGGAGUUGUUGAUCCUUCUUGGUGAUAUUCUUAAACUUGUAGAACAAUUCCAUUCCUAUGCAGCUCUAUUCAAUGAGGCCAACAAGCCACUGCCACAGAGAAAUCAAAAACAUGCUGAGUGACAUCCAAAAUUGGAUUUCAGAAAGUCUUAAAGUCUUCAGUAGCCGCACAUACUAUAACAUCUGAACCUUUUUUCCCGAUGUGUAAUUCAGUGUCACAUGAUUAAAACGAGACCCUGUUGCAAAGUCGCUAUCACUGUAUGUUUCAUGAUCUUCAUGUUCUGAGUCUGAGUGAGAUGAUGAGCUAUCACUCGAGUCAAGGGAAGUUUUGUACAACUCAAGAAUAUCACAUCUACAUUCACUACAUGGGGUAAUUGCAUGUCCAUGAGUCUCUGCAGUCACAGAGACACUUGCAAGAUAUGGCACAGUUGUCCAUAGCACUCAUGACUUCAGUAAAGCUCAACUCGUCGACAUACGUUGGUUCUGACAUACUGUUUCAUUUCAUCCGAAAUAUUCCGCCUGCCACUGAGACAUCGUCUAAAUUUCAUGAGAAGAGCAUGUGCCUGCUUUUCUGGAUCCCUGCCUGCUCCGUCCUUGUCUCUUGAAUAUAAUCCUCAACAUUAUUGGCUGGACCAUAGUGGAUGACGGUUUCCACACUUUCUUAGCAUUGUGUAUACACAACGUAAUUAACGGAUUCUGACAUCAGCCACAUAUCUCGGACCACCCCACGAGUCUCUCUUAACCGUUCAAUUAACGUUCCGCUUGGUGUUGCCACACCUGUCCGCCAUCUGCUGUUGAGAUACUGUAACGGUUCUCGUCUGAAAAGAGGACUUCUCCCACUGCUGGUGCUGUGCUACCCACUGAAGACGGUCCAGGAAACAAAGAAGAAGACUGAAAGGAUACCACUGGGAGUGCUUCAGUGAGGACCUCAGUGACCGUUCUCCAUCACAGUAGGUGCUCAGCGGAGGGGACUACCUCACCCUUGAGAGGCAGAAACAAGCCAAUCAUGCACUUACGAGAUGGACCUACACCAAGUUCCAGAUUACAAGGACUUGUUCCAAAGAUGGAAGAGUUCCAUAACGAAGCUGAAUUUCUAAAGGUUAUAUGGAAACACUUGUACUCGUCCUCCUCUAACAAGUCUGUUUGGCACUCUGCAUGCUGCAAAGGAGCACAAUAAAUGCGGUGAAUGUUACUCAGGAUCCUCAUGACAACUUUUACCCAUGCUCUGAAUUCAUGGACAAGGUCACCACCGCCUACAUCGUAACUCGGGGACUACAUUACUUCCAAAUGGAACACCUCACUUCUGUCCCAACGUCAAGUUACAUGGGUGCUGUUGGCAAUCCAUAUAAAAUGAUUGAUUAUUUUCUAGGUCAUGCAGCAAAACAGUUUGUAGACAAGCACGUCUUACCGGAGGUUCCUCAACAGCCAGGUCAUGGUCUCCAAAUCAAACACACUAGCCUGCAGGUACUGUGGAAAACUGUACCAGAGACCAAAAGCUCUCCGCAAAC
rnacentral:lncRNA from 1 species